CAGCAGCCACGGUAAUACGAAGGGGGCUAGCGUUGCUCGGAAUUACUGGGCGUAAAGGGAGCGUAGGCGGACAUUUAAGUCAGGGGUGAAAUCCCAGAGCUCAACUCUGGAACUGCCUUUGAUACUGGGUGUCUUGAGUGUGAUAGAGGUAUGUGGAACUCCGAGUGUAGAGGUGAAAUUCGUAGAUAUUCGGAAGAACACCAGUGGCGAAGGCGACAUACUGGAUCAUUACUGACGCUGAGGCUCGAAAGCGUGGGGAGCAAACAGGAUUAGAUACCCCCGUAGUCCCUGUCUCUUAUAC
rnacentral:rRNA from 1 species